AUUUCCACAGAGGUUCUCCAUUUAAUAGAAGAAGAGCACCAGGCUGAGUGUUUCAUCCAUUGGUGGGAAGGGAAGGGAAGGGAAGGGAAGGGAAGGGAAGGGAAGGGAAGGGAAGGGAAGGGAAGGGACGGGCUUAUAAUCUUGAAAAUGUUUUCUUUUUCCAGUAAAUAUCUUUCUGUCUUUCUCUGGAAACAUUUAUUUCAUCAGCAAGCAUGCUAUGAGUCUCCUAAUUGCUGAUCUUCACAAAAGGAUGUAGCAGACAAAGUUAUUCUGAAUUCUGUUUCAAGCUCAAGUAGUUAUUAUUAUCUGCCCACAGCCAUUUCAGAAUCAAUAGAAAAAUCAUUACAAUACCACUCAGCACUGUUGUUGUAUGCCUGGGUUAAAAUGCUUUAUAUGUUUGCAUUUUAAGUGAAUACUUUUCAGUCUUCACUUGAACCUCUGAAUUUUGGGGAGAGUUACAGUUAUAAAACACCCUACACUUUAAAUGCAUGAACAAAAGCUUUGUUCUAGUUCUCACAAUUUCUAUUUUUUUCAGUAGAUUUCCCUUUUUUAGCAUUAGAAAUUCUUUUGAGCUAAAUUUGCACAGCAGUAUUUCUAAUAAAAAGAUUGGGAAAUUUUGCAGUAAUUUAAAAUAUCUUAUGCUAGGUAAUUUCUGUAGAAAAUUUCCAACCAGCAACUUCAGAAGGGUCAUUUUCAUCCCAAGACAGAGUUUCAAGAGUGGAUCCUGCUCCCAACUUUGCCACAAAUCUGCUGAGAGGGACUGUUCUCUGUUACAGUGCUUGGCUUCCCCUCCAGCCCAUUCCAGGUCCAGCAAAAAGACCUGCAUUGCUGACAAUAGCAAAAAGCCUGAAGUGAAGAUCCUGGAGUAAAAAAGAUGUCCAUGAACUGUAACAUCUCACAGAAAAAAACUGAAAUGCU
rnacentral:lncRNA from 1 species